GACGAACCGUGCGAACGUUAUCCGGAAUCACUGGGCUUAAAGCGCGUGUAGGCGGGCCGGCACGUCGAUCGCUGAAAUCCCGCGGCUCAACCGCGGAAGGGGCGUCGAUACGACCGGCCUGGAGGGGGGUAGGGGGAGCCGGAACUUCCGGUGGAGCGGUGAAAUGCGUUGAGAUCGGAAGGAACGCCCGUGGCGAAAGCGGGCUCCUGGACCCCACCUGACGCUGAGACGCGAAAGCCAGGGGAGCGAACGGG
rnacentral:rRNA from 1 species